UACAGAGGUCCCAAGCGUUGUUCGGAUUCAUUGGGCGUAAAGGGUGCGUAGGCGGCGCGGUAAGUCGGGUGUGAAAUCUCGGAGCUUAACUCCGAAACUGCAUUCGAUACUGCCGUGCUUGAGGACUGGAGAGGAGACUGGAAUUUACGGUGUAGCGGUGAAAUGCGCAGAUAUCAGGAAGAACACCGAUGGCGAAGGCAGUUCUCUGGGACGGUACUGACGCUGAGACGCGAAAGCGUGGGGAGCGAACAGG
rnacentral:rRNA from 1 species